rnacentral:rRNA from 1 species
UACGGGGGGAGCAAGCGUUGUUCGGAUUUACUGGGCGUAAAGGGCGCGUAGGCGGUCCCGUCAGUCCCUUGUGAAAUCCCCCGGCUCAACUGGGGAACUGCAAGGGAUACAGCGGGGCUUGAGUUCGGGAGAGGGAAGCGGAAUUCCGGGUGUAGCGGUGAAAUGCGUAGAUAUCCGGAGGAACACCGGUGGCGAAGGCGGCUUCCUGGACCGAUACUGACGCUGAGGCGCGAAAGCUAGGGGAGCAAACGGG